rnacentral:rRNA from 1 species
UACGGGGGGAGCAAGCGUUGUUCGGAUUUACUGGGCGUAAAGGGCGCGUAGGCGGCGCGACAAGUCACUUGUGAAAUCUCCGGGCUUAACCCGGAGCGGCCAAGUGAUACUGUAGUGCUAGAGUGCGGAAGGGGCUACUGGAAUUCUCGGUGUAGCGGUGAAAUGCGUAGAUAUCGAGAGGAACACCUGCGGCGAAGGCGGGUAGCUGGGCCGACACUGACGCUGAGGCGCGAAAGCCAGGGAGCGAACGGG